AUUGAACGCUGGCGGCAGGCCUAACACAUGCAAGUCGAACGAGUGGCGGACGGGUGAGUAAUGUCGGGGAAACUGCCCGAUGGAGGGGGAUAACUACUGGAAACGGUAGCUAAUACCGCAUACCAUCGGAUGUGCCCAGAUGGGAUUAGCUAGUAGGUGGGGUAAUGGCUCACCUAGGCGACGAUCCCUAGCGGGUCUGAUAGGAUGACCAGCCACACUGGAACUGACACACGGUCCAGACUCCUACGGUAGGCAGCAGUGGGGAAUAGUGCACAAUGGGGGCAAGCCUGAUGCUGCCAUGCCGCGUGUAUGAAGAAGGCCUUCGGGUUGUAAAGUACUUUCAGCGGGUAGGCGUUACCCGCAGAAGAAGCACCGGCUAACUCCGUGCCAGCAGCCGCGGUAAUUC
rnacentral:rRNA from 1 species